rnacentral:rRNA from 1 species
UACGGGGGGGGCAAGCGUUGUUCGGAAUUACUGGGCGUAAAGGGCUCGUAGGUGGCCAACUAAGUCGGACGUGAAAUCCCUCGGCUUAACCGGGGAACUGCGUCCGAUACUGGCAGGCUUGAAUCCGGGAGAGGGAUGUGGAAUUCCAGGUGUAGCGGUGAAAUGCGUAGAUAUCUGGAGGAACACCGGUGGCGAAGGCGGCAUCCUGGACCGGUAUUGACGCUGAGGCGCGAAAGCCAGGGGAGCAAACGGG